UUGGGAUGAAGGACAAGACGAAUCGCCAUCUUCGACUCAGAAACUUCUUCUUGAGAAUUCAUCCACUGCAAACUUAAUUGUCAUGACACUACCAAUACCCACAAAAGAGGUUUUGACAGCAACAUUAUACAUGGCUUGGCUGGAGACACUUAGCAAAGACAUGCCUCCAUUUCUACUAGUAAGAGGCAAUCAACAGUCAGUGCUCACCUUCUACUCCUAGGUUCAUCCUCUCACUGCUGUCUUCUGGAAGGUCUCCAUUCAAACGCAUAUAAUGUAAAAGUUGUGGAUAACAUUCUUUAUAUCUAAUUUUAAUAACAAAUAAUCAGGCACCAAAAAUUGAUUUUCAAAAACAUAAACAGUAUCUAAUAAAGAGCAUACAUAAUUCAUAUAAAGUUUUAAUGAAUUAAAGUGUAAAAUUAUGGUUCAGGAUUUACAAAUGUGGACUUCUGUAUUGAUUGUAACUAAUCAACUUGUUUCAAUAUGAGGUGAGUUUGUGAUAUUAUUAUGUUUUAAUGUUAACAUAAAAAGCUUGAAGUACAAAGUUUGCUUGCAAACAGGGUAUUAUAUUUUUAUCAUGUAUACUGAUAUUAAAAUAAUGAAAGUGAACUAAGGUAAAAGGAUCGACUGUAAAUCUUCUUGUAAAAGAGUCUGAAGGAUGAGAGUAAUAUUAGAAAUGGGAGCAAAAGUUAGAUAAUUAUUUUUAUAGGAAUAUUUUGAAUAAAUAAUUAUUAUUGGA